UCGUGACGUGUGCCGGACUUUUUGCCACCCAAAUCCGCAUUCGAUACCGACUGCUUCUUGAAGGGGAUUUUCGCCUUUCUUGGCUUUCCGGGUGCUUUUUGUGCAUAAUGUUUUUCUUAUUAGAGCUUACUGUAAGGGGGGAUUGCUGAGAGGGGUUUGUGAAUAGAGGGAAGGAUCAAGAGUGGAACGUCGCGUUGGGUUGGGAAAAUAGUUUUCUAGUUCUGAAAGUGGGGAACUACCUUCAGUUGCAUGGGAUCUUUGGAAGUUUAGUUUGUUGUUUUAAAGUGAGUUUAGGGGAAAAUCGCGAGAAAUGUAUCGUUAGAGGAUGUGAUAGUUUCGCUUUUCUGCCGAAAAUAACAAAAAUUAUAUAUUGGAUACAUUAUGACUCGAAGACUGUCGGUGAAUUAAAGCGGCUUUUGUCACGUCAUCGGGAACGUCCCUUCAAUCCGUCGGAGUUUGAAUGAAGCAAAAAAGAUUAAGCCGGAAAACGAAAGUAAUUAACUGAAAGUAUUGUGUAAGGAAGGACUUUUCCGACCUUUUUUUUAUUUUCUUCAGAAGACGGAAGUGUGAGGACCCGAUGUUAAUCCAAAAAUGUUGAGUUUAUACAGACACAAGGUGCUGCCCCGAAGUGACUUGAAAUAAAUUUUAUUUAACUAUACGAGGAUAAAAAUGUCGCGUUAAAAGUGAUAGUCAGAUACUUCAGAAUAAAAAAGUUGGAGAGAUUUUUUUGAAAGGCAGUUGAGUUGUAAAUGGUUACUAUCCAAUAAUCAAUAUUCGACCUGUAGUGUGUGCAGCGAUAGUAAGACAAGCUUUUACAUUAUGUCACGCAUAUUUUACAAUCCGGAAUGCAGAAAGAGAUUCGAACGUUCUUCUCCUGGAGACGAGCCAAGUCCACGGUAAUUUAAGAUGACUGUUCGUCGAUAUUUGGCUUCUAGAGAUCG